GUCGAUUUGGUUAGAGAGAGUGACAAAUGGAGAACUAGGAUGCACUAAAGGGACGGAAACUCCGAAAGGGCGAAGGAGAAACUUUGAAAUCAAAUAUCCACGCGCGAACGCAGCGUAGGGGGUCGCUGGAAAGUGAAACAUCUCAGUACCAGAGCCCCCCCAAUAGCCCCCCCCCCUAUUUGGGGGGGGGCUAUUGGCACGAUAAAAAUCAAACGAGAUUCCGCAAGUAGCGGCGAGCGAAUGCGGAUUGGUCCUUUCCUGGCAGCCUUGGUUAUAACUUGGCUGCGCCCCCCGAUCCCCCCCCUCCCUCCUCAUGGAUAGGGGGGGGGGGGUAACCUUCGGGGGGGAAGCGAGUAGUAAUGGAAGAUAGGUGGCCACACAUCUAAGACUAAAUGUUUAGUGACAUACCGAAAGUGAGAGUACUGUAAAGGAAAGUUGAAAGAGACUUGAAAAAGAUCUUGAAAUGAGUCACUUAGAGCAGUUGUAAUACAACGUACCUUUUGUAUAAUGGGUCCACGAGAUAAAAUUUGGCAAACUUAAAGUGCAAUCCCGUAGAAAUCAUGCAUCCGAGGGCUACGCUAGUAACAAGAGGUGAAUUGAUUUCCUUGAGAUGAUUGAAGCACCCUUAAGGUGUAGUGAAAUCAAGGGGGGCCUUCCCCCCCCCUUCAGUCAAAUUACCCGAAACCAAGUGAUCUAGCCAUGGGCAGUUUUAAGGAACGAACCGGUGGUUGUAGCAAAAAUCUCGGACGACCUGUGGUUAGGGGCGAAACGCCAAUCGAACUUGGUGAUAGCUGGUUUUCUGCGAAAACUAUUGAAGUAGUGCGUCCACAAUGGAGAAUGUUUAUAAGGAGUAAAGCUCGAUCCCUCGAGGCCGAAGGAUUAACUAUGAACAAAAAUAAAAUCAUAGUGGACAGACAGACGGUGGGCGAUAAGGUCAACGGUCAAAAGGGGAAAGCCCUAAUCAGAAGUUAAAGUCAUUAAUAAAGAGGGGGGGCGCAAACCCCCCCCCCGAUUUUAGUGUAAAAGAGAUAUUGGAUUUAGACAAUGAAGAAGUGGGCUUGGAGCCAGCCACCUUUGAGAGAUGACGUAGCAGUUCACUCAAGAAAUUCUUUUAUCUCUAAAAUUGUGGUGGCUAAAGUUGAACUGAAACUCUGAGGGCGAAAAAAACUAUUUGCCUGGUAGCAGAACGUACUGUUUAUUUGUUCAGUGAAAGCCCCGGCAUCAGAAGUGAUAAUGUGGACAUGAGUAAAGAACCAUAGGAUCACCCCCCCCAGGUUUCCCAUAUUAAGUAUGGGGUUAAACAGCCCCUAAAAUAGCAACCCCCAGGUUGCAUUGAUGGGGGCAAUAGAUAAUAGACGCACAAAGUGCCGGGAAAGAAUUAUUAUAAAAUCGAAGAAGCCCCCCCCCCCUUUCGGGGGGGGGGGGCGUCUUUCGACGACACACUGUACUAAACUAACCAAAGUGGGGGAUAGUGAGAGGGAUAAAUUUUCUUAAGGAACUCGGCCAAACCCUAAUGCCCAUCAGGGUAGAUAUCAGAACAUGGGCCUCGACUGUUUACCAAAAACAUAGCUCUCAGCCAAUAUGAAAGUAGAAGUAUGGAGGGUGAGGCCUGCCCAAUGGUUGUAUCUAAAAACGGUUGAUAAAAGUUGACUUCAUAAGGACAAUUGAAUGGCCGCGGUAACACUGACCGUGAUAAUGUAGCGUAAUCAAUAGCCAAUUAAUUGUUGGCCAGUAUGAAUGGCGUCACGAAGGCCCCACUGUCUUAAGAGAAUUCCCAGUGAAAUUGAAUUCGUAGUGAAGAUGCUACGUCCAAUUUGUUAGACGAAAAGACCCCAUUGAGCUUUACUGGAGUCUUACAUUGCUCGGAUCAACUCUCGCCCCCCCCUUGGCGGGGGGGUCGAAUUUAAAUGGAUAGCUUAGAUUAUGUGGUGUCAUAACCGUCGAUCAAGUAGUCCUUACAGGAUUGCCCCCCCGAAGGUUGACCUAUUUGGGUGAAUGAAACCCCACUCUUCUUUGUUAAAUGAGCUAACCCUUUCUCCCUUAAAGGGGACAAUGUAAGUUGGACAGUUUGGUUGGGGCGACCGCCUUUUAAAGAGUAACGAAGGUGUGCUUAAGGUACAUUAUUAAUAACACAAGCCUGACUGCGAGGGGGACCCUCCGAGCAGACACCUAAAGUCUUCUCCCUUCCCCCCGAAGGUUAAAGACGAAUGGUGGGUUAUAGUGACCCGUUAAUUUAGAGUGGAAUAGUUAACGAUCAACGAAUAAAAGUUACCAUGGGGAUAACAGCGUAAUAUCGUUAGAGAGUUUACAUCGACGACGAUGUUUGCGACCUCGAUGUUGAAUUGCGGCAUCCUGGGGUGCAGCCGCUCCCAAGGGUUGGCCUGUUCGUCCAUUAAAGCCGUACAUGAUUUGAGUUAAAAGCGUGGUAACACAGCUUGGUUUCUAUCUACAAAUUGAAGAAACAUCGAUAUAACUAUCUUCUAGUACGAAAGGACCGAAGGAUUAGUGAUCCUCUUAUUUACUAUAAGUUACGAUCAACCCGU
rnacentral:rRNA from 1 species